GACGAACGCUGGCGGCGUGCUUAACACAUGCAAGUCGAACGAAGUGGCGAACGGGUGAGUAACGCGUAAUCAACCUGCCCUUCAGAGGGGGACAACAGUUGGAAACGACUGCUAAUACCGCAUACUGAAGGAGUGGAUUGCGUCUGAUUGGCUGGUUGGCGGGGUAACGGCCCACCAAGGCGAUGAUCAGUAGCCGGGCUGAGAGGAUGAACGGCCACAAUGGGACUGAGGAACGGCCCAGACUCCUACGGGAAGCUGCAGUGGGGAAUCUUCCGCAAUGGACGAAAGUCGGACGGAGCAACGCCGCGUGAGUGAUGACGGCCGUCGGGUUGUAAAGCUCUGUUAAUCGGGACGCGGUACCGGAAGAAAAAGCCACGGCUAACUACGUGCCAGCCGCCGCGGUAAUAC
rnacentral:rRNA from 1 species